UGUUGGAAUGAGUGAGCGAGUGACAGUGUGUAUUAAUGUGUGUGUGUGUGUGUGUGUGUGAGUGUGUGUGUGUGUGUGUGUGUGUGUGUGUGUGUGUGUGUGUGUGAGAGUGUUUGCUGAGACGUGUAUUAUGGUUCCUCUUUUUCAUCUCUAUAAACAGGCAGAGUCUGGAUGGCUUCACACGUCUUCAUUAGUCAGGCGGCGAAGAAGUUCCUCUCUAGCCAGUUACAACACUGUACCCGCAUCAGAAUGCUGUUUUUCAGACCAGGAUGAUAACUUUUUUGGGAUUUGUGGUGCUGAUGGCUGCAUUUUCUCAUGGUGUGGACUCCAUCUGUGAUGUUACUCAGGAUGCUGUAUGUAACGGCACCCUAGGACUACCUGUGUACCUACAGCUGAUUAGGGACGCCACAGGACACGAACUGAAGUUAUUCAGUGGAGAUAAGAAUGUUUUUACAUCCAAAUCCUCCAAGACAGUGUUCUUUAACGAGUUCAACAACCCAUCAUACCUCCAGAGGUGGCAGUUUGUUCGUGAUAACGGGACCUUGAUUAUUAACCCUGCAGAGAAGAGAGACGCAGGAACAUACAGAGUGGAGAUCUAUGAGGAGUCAACAGGGAGGAGUGUGGGAGAUCACACAGUUCAGCUGAUCCUUCAAGGUACCUCCACUGUGUCUGUCAAACCAACUAACCAGACUAACACGACUCUUCCCUCUACCCACCCAGGUCCCUCAGUGACGGUAAUAGUUAUUUGUGUGUUAUUAUCCCUGACUGUGUGUCUGUGUGUCGCUGUGGGGACGUUCUACAUCAGAAUGAAAAAGAGGAAUACACACACUCCAGGUACAAGAGUGGAAACAGAGGAUGUGGUGUAUUCUGGCGUUGCCAUGGCAAAUAGGAGCAGCAGGCAUAACAGCAGGAAGCCACCAGCAGCUGAGGCGUAUGAGUUGGAGUAUGCUGAGGUGUCUGCCUUCAGUAAGCGACGGGGCCCAACUGAGAGUCACAGGCCAGAGGAGUCGGUUGAGUACGGGGAAGUGAGAGUCCACACACCACACUGACCCACAGCAGGCAGACAGUGUGUAUGCUCAAAUGCACCUCGGACAGUGACCUGUGUGUGUGUGUGUGUGUGUGUGUGUGUGUGUGUGUCUGUGUCUGUGUCUGUGUCUGUGCACCUGUGGAGGCAUGUAGCAGAGUGUGUGUCUGUUCCUCACAGCAGGUUAAUGUGGAGGUUAAUGACCACAGCAGACACAACUAACCAAGGGUACUAUAAUGGUGGAAUUAUGUGGUUAAUUAAGGUUACUAUCAUGAUGAAAUUAUGUAGUUAACCAGGGUUACCAUUGUUAGGAAAAAAUACACUGCGUGUUGUUUCGGAGAGGAACCACCAUAUGAAGCAAUUUGUUGUAACAAGGUUGAGUUUUACUGGUAGGUAACGACACAAUACAACUUGCCCAACAGACAGUCAAGUACAGUCAAGCAAGCCGGAGAAUGUGAAUUCUAGAGUCUAAACAGAGGAUGCUCCCACUUUUAAGGCCUAAUUCUGUGAUGUCGCUUCUGGCCCCCUGCACCUCCCACAUACACUGUCUUCCACUCGGCACUUUGUUAUAACACAUGAUUAACUUCUGCUUUUAAUCUGCUGACAUGUAUGUCUGGACAUUUUUGUCUGUGCCCCAGCCUUGACCACCUAAGAUUUAUAUGCUUCUCUCCUCUUCCGGGCCUUUGUUUUAACUUGCUUUCUCCUGUCUGACUCUUUACAUUUCCCCUGCAGAUGUUACUUGCUGUUUUUCUGACUUGUUGGCAGACUGCCCUUUUAUUGUGAUUAUACUUCAUUGAUACAUUUGGUUAAAUGUGAUAUGAUUAGAUAAAUUUGAUAAUUCAAAUGUAUCUUACAUUUCCCUCCUUUGACCUCAUUUAUGAGGUCAACAAUUUCUCCAAGCA
ensembl:lncRNA